rnacentral:rRNA from 1 species
AAAGAUUAAGCCAUGCAUGUCUAAGUAUAAGCAAUUAUACAGCGAAACUGCGAAUGGCUCAUUAUAUAAGUUAUCGUUUAUUUGAUAGUACCUUACUACUUGGAUAACCGUGGUAAUUCUAGAGCUAAUACAUGCUAAAAAUCCCGACUUCGGAAGGGAUGUAUUUAUUAGAUUAAAAACCAAUGCCCCCCGGGGCUCACUGGUGAUUCAUGAUAACUCCUCGAAUCGCAUGGCCUUGCGCCGGCGAUGGUUCAUUCAAAUUUCUUCCCUAUCAACUUUCGAUGUUUGGGUAUUGGCCAAACAUGGUUG